rnacentral:rRNA from 1 species
GUGGGGAAUAUUGGACAAUGGGCGAAAGCCUGAUCCAGCAAUGCCGCGUGAGUGAUGAAGGCCUUAGGGUUGUAAAGCUCUUUUACCAGGGAUGAUAAUGACAGUACCUGGAGAAUAAGCUCCGGCUAACUCCGUGCCAGCAGCCGCGGUAAUACGGAGGGAGCUAGCGUUGUUCGGAAUUACUGGGCGUAAAGCGCACGUAGGCGGUUACUCAAGUCAGAGGUGAAAGCCCGGGGCUCAACCCCGGAACUGCCUUUGAAACUAGGUAACUAGAAUCUUGGAGAGGUCAGUGGAAUUCCGAGUGUAGAGGUGAAAUUCGUAGAUAUUCGGAAGAACACCAGUGGCGAAGGCGACUGACUGGACAAGUAUUGACGCUGAGGUGCGAAAGCGUGGGGAGCAAACAGUAUUAGAAACCCUGGUAGUCC